GGACGGGUGAGUAACGCGCAGGAAUCUGCCUGGUAGCGGGGGACAACUCGGGGAAACUCGAGCUAAUACCGCAUACGCCCUACGGGGGAAAGCGGGGGACCUUCGGGCCUCGCACUAUCAGAUGAGCCUGCGUCCGAUUAGCUUGUUGGUGAGGUAAUGGCUCACCAAGGCUACGAUCGGUAGCUGGUCUGAGAGGAUGAUCAGCCACACUGGGACUGAGACACGGCCCAGACUCCUACGGGGGGCAGCAGUCUAGAGGCUUCGGCAAUGGGGGCAACCCUGACCGAGCGACGCCGCGUGGAGGAUGAAGGCCUUCGGGUCGUAAACUCCUUUCGGCUGGAAGAAAAGCCGCCGGCUAAUACCCGGCAGUCCUGACAUUACCCACAGAAGAAGCACCGGCUAACUCCGUGCCAGCAGCCGCGGUAAUACGGGC
rnacentral:rRNA from 1 species